GAAUUCGCCCUUAGAGUUUGAUCCUGGCUCAGGACUAACGCUGGCGGCGUGCCUAAUACAUGCAAGUCGAACGGUCGUGCGUUUGUAGCAAUAUGGACGUACGAUAGUGGCGAACGGGUGAGUAACACGUGGAAAACCUACCCUCGAGCGGGGGAUAACUCCGGGAAACUGGGGCUAAUACCGCAUGACAUCCCAACCUGGCAUCGGGAGGGGAUCAAAGCCGAAAGGCACUUGAGGAUGGUUCCGCGGCCUAUCAGCUAGUUGGCGGGGUAACGGCCCACCAAGGCGACGACGGGUAGCCGGCCUGAGAGGGCGAUCGGCCACAAGGGGACUGAGACACGGCCCCUACUCCUACGGGAGGCAGCAGUAGGGAAUUUUGCUCAAUGGGGGAAACCCUGAAGCAGCGACGCCGCGUGGGCGACGAAAUCCUUCGGGAUGUAAAGCCCUUUUAACCGGGACGAAAUACAUGACGGUACCGGUGGAAUAAGCCUCGGCUAACUCCGUGCCAGCAGCCGCGGUAAGACGGGGGAGGCAAGCGUUGUCCGGAAUCACUGGGUGUAAAGGGCGUGUAGGCGGGCCGGCUAGUCGGUUGUUAAAUCUCUCCGCUCAACGGAGAAGCUGCGGCCGAUACUUCCGGUCUUGAGUGCGGCAGGGGAGGAUGGAAUUCCUGGUGUAGCGGUGAAAUGCGUAGAUAUCAGGAGGAACACCGGUGGCGAAGGCGGUCCUCUGGGCCUGCACUGACGCUGAGUGCGCGAAAGCUGGGGUAGCAAACAGAAUUAGAUACUCUGGUAGUCCCAGCCCUAAACG
rnacentral:rRNA from 1 species